UACGGAGGGUGCGAGCGUUGUCCGGAUUUAUUGGGUUUAAAGGGUGCGUAGGUGGCCCUGCAAGUCCGUGGUGAAAGCCUGCCGCUUAACGGCAGAACUGCCAUGGAUACUACAGGGCUUGAGUCCAGACGAGGUUGGCGGAAUGGAUGGUGUAGCGGUGAAAUGCAUAGAUACCAUCCAGAACCCCGAUUGCGUAGGCAGCUGACUAGGCUGGUAAUGACACUGAGGCACGAAAGCGUGGGGAGCGAACAGG
rnacentral:rRNA from 1 species